rnacentral:rRNA from 1 species
GGACGAACGCUGGCGGCGUGCCUAACACAUGCAAGUCGAGCGAGGAGAUCCUUCGGGAUGAUCCUAGCGGCGGACGGGUGAGUAACACGUGGGCAACCUGCCUCAUAGAGAGGAAUAGCCUUCCGAAAGGGAGAUUAAUACCUCAUAACAUUGCAGUUUCGCAUGGAACAGCAAUUAAAGGAGUAAUCCGCUAUGAGAUGGGCCCGCGGCGCAUUAGCUAGUUGGUGAGGUAACGGCUCACCAAGGCGACGAUGCGUAGCCGACCUGAGAGGGUGAUCGGCCACAUUGGGACCGAGACACGGCCCAGACUCCUACGGGAGGCAGCAGUGGGGAAUAUUGCACAAUGGGGGAAACCCUGAUGCAGCCAACGCCGCGUGAGUGAUGACGGCCUUCGGGUUGUAAAGCUCUGUCUUCAGGGACGAUAAUGACGGUACCUGAGGAGGAAGCCACGGCUAACUACGUGCCAGCAGCAGC